CCUACGGGUGGCAGCAGUGGGGAAUAUUGGGCAAUGGAGGCAACUCUGACCCAGCAAUGCCGCGUGAGUGAUGAAGGUAAUUUUAUUGUAAAGCUCUUUUCUUUGGAACGAAUACCUUACUGUACCAAAGGCAUCAUCCCCGGCUAACUACUUGCCAGCAGCCGCGGUAAUACGUAGGGGGCCAGCGUUGUUCGGAAUGACUGGGCGUCAAGGGUGUGUAGGUGGUUUGAUAAGUUAGAUGUGUAAUACCCAGGGCUUAACUCGGGGGAUGCAUCUAAAACUGUUAGACUGGAGUACUGGAGAGGAUAGUGGAAUUCAUAGUGUAGCGGUGGAAUGCGUAGAUAUUAGGAGGAACACCAGUGGCGAAGGCGACUAUCUGGACAGCAACUGACACUGAGGCACGAAAGCGUGGGGAGCAAACAGGAUUAGAUACCCGAGUAGUC
rnacentral:rRNA from 1 species